rnacentral:rRNA from 1 species
UACGGAGGGUCCGAGCGUUAUCCGGAUUUAUUGGGUUUAAAGGGUGCGUAGGUGGAUUGGUAAGUCAGUGGUGAAAGUUUGCAGCUUAACUGUAAAAUUGCCGUUGAAACUGCCGGUCUUGAGUGCAAAUGAGGUAGGCGGAAUGCGUCGUGUAGCGGUGAAAUGCUUAGAUAUGACGCAGAACUCCGAUUGCGAAGGCAGCUUACUGGGAUGCAACUGACGCUGAGGCACGAAAGCGUGGGUAUCAAACAGGAUUAGAUACCCCUGUA